AUAAAUUACCCUGUCUUGUAUAGUUCUUUAUAGCAGUGUGAAAACGAACUAAUACACCACCCCAUAUGGCUUGACCCUGCUGGAGAACAAUACUUAACAUUUUGGAUAUCAGUCUUGGCCAUGGGAGUUGCUUCUGCAAUGAAAGGUGAGUAGAAGUGACCUGUGCAUUUUGGAGCAGAAACUUUAAGUUAUGGCCUUGUUUGCUAAUCUCUCUUACCCUUUUGCUACUCCUUCUGCUAGGAUCAGAAAUGAAGACAACUUGAAGGAGAGCUAAUGUUGACUUCCAUUGUCAUGUUACAUGAAAAGUUUGGCCAGAAGAUUAUCAUAGUGUCGAUGCCUCUGACCAUGAAGUUUAUAGCUGAGUGUCUGGAAAAGAGGAAUGCUCUUUUUCAUGUUCAGCAUAAAAACACUCAUCUACCAGGCUGGGAUGAAUGCAGGCCAUGAGAGGAAUAUGAUGACUACACGAACACCAGUGAUCCAACAAACAAUAUGAAAACUACUAUGAGAGAUGCAGAGGAGGAAGAAGGCACGAGAUUGCUUCCUAUAAAGGGAUGCUAAGCAAAAGCUUUAUGAAACAACUAAAAGCCUACAUGUAACAGGACUUGAAGAAUGAGUAGAAUUUUGAACCUUAGAUUUCUUUUUUAUUUAACCGGAAUAUUAACAUUAUAGGCUUGCCACGAGCAUUAAGCCACAGAACUCAUGUAAAACACUUAAUACAUAGCUUUGCAUAUAGUGUUUAAUACUUAUUUUUCAUAAGCACUAUUAAAUGUUGCUUUUUC
rnacentral:lncRNA from 1 species